rnacentral:tRNA from 1 species
GCCUGGCUGGCUUGGUUGGUAAAGCAUGUGACUUUUGAUCUUGGGGUGAUGAGUUUGAGCCCCAUGUUGGGUA